UACGGGGGGGGCAAGCGUUGUUCGGAAUUACUGGGCGUAAAGGGCUCGUAGGCGGCCAACUAAGUCAGCCGUGAAAUCCCUCGGCUUAACCGGGGAACUGCAUCUGAUACUGGAUGGCUUGAGUUCGGGAGAGGGAUGCGGAAUUCCAGGUGUAGCGGUGAAAUGCGUAGAUAUCUGGAGGAACACCGGUGGCGAAGGCGGCAUCCUGGACCGACACUGACGCUGAGGAGCGAAAGCCAGGGGAGCAAACGGG
rnacentral:rRNA from 1 species